AACAGGUCACGUGACCAGCUCCCACCAGGGUCUUUCCUCCACAAGAGGUAAGAGCCUGGAACGAGGUUGAGCCGAAGUUUGCAGUUUUCACAGAGAACAGCUGGGGGUUUUAGUUUAAAUUCAAUUUAAUUGACACACUAGGAAUAUUUACAGUUUGUUUUUACGCUCAACGCCAUAUGGACUGUUUUAAUUUCGUCGAAUUGAAAAUUCACCUUCUAGGUGAGGAUGCAUUUUCCGCGCAAAAUUGCGAGGUUGAUUGAGAGAAAGGUUGUAUUGCUAGGUUUCACUAAGCACCAUCGUGCAGCAGAUGCUGGUCAACCUGCAGUUAUCAGAGUGACAAAAAAUUGAGUUUAAUUAUCAUGCUCCUGUAGCUACAUGCCGAUUUACGCUACACAACUUUUGCCUAAAACUGUCGCAUGCAACCUGCUUACAACUUGAUCACCUGUGUAAAUCAAGCACACAACUCACCCAUGACAACGUAGGUGAGUUGUGUGCUUGAUUUACACAGUACAACUCAAGUUGUAAGCAGGUUGCAUGCGACAGUUUUAGGCAAAAGUUGUGUAGUGUCGUAGGUGAGUUGUGUGUUUGAUUUACACAGUACAACUCAAGUUGUAAGCAGGUUGCAUGCGACAGUUUUAGGCAAAA